rnacentral:rRNA from 1 species
UGGCUCAUUAAAUCAGUUAUCGUUUAUUUGAUAGUACCUUACUACAUGGAUAACCGUGGUAAUUCUAGAGCUAAUACAUGCUAAAAACCCCGACUUCGGGAGGGGUGUAUUUAUUAGAUAAAAAACCAACGCCCUUCGGGGCUUCUUGGUGAUUCAUAAUAACUUAACGAAUCGCAUGGCCUUGCGCCGGCGAUGGUUCAUUCAAAUUUCUGCCCUAUCAACUUUCGAUGGUAGGAUAGUGGCCUACCAUGGUAUCAACGGGUAACGGGGAAUUAGGGUUCUAUUCCGGAGAGGGAGCCUGAGAAACGGCUACCACAUCCAAGGAAGGCAGCAGGCGCGCAAAUUACCCAAUCCCGACGCGGGGAGGUAGUGACAAUAAAUACUGAUACAGGGCUCUUUUGGGUCUUGUAAUUGGAAUGAGUACAAUUUAAAUCCCUUAACGAGGAACAAUUGGAGGGCAAGUCUGGUGCCAGCAGCCGCGGUAAUUCCAGCUCCAAUAGCGUAUAUUAAAGUUGUUGCAGUUAAAAAGCUCGUAGUUGAACCUUGGGCCUGGCUGGCCGGUCCGCCUCACCGCGUGCACUGGUCCGGCCGGGCCUUUCCUUCUGGGGAGCCGCAUGCCCUUCACUGGGUGUGUCGGGGAACCAGGACUUUUACUUUGAAAAAAUUAGAGUGUUCAAAGCAGGCCUUUGCUCGAAUACAUUAGCAUGGAAUAAUAGAAUAGGACGUGCGGUCCUAUUUUGUUGGUUUCUAGGACCGCCGUAAUGAUUAAUAGGGAUAGUCGGGGGCAUCAGUAUUCAAUUGUCAGAGGUGAAAUUCUUGGAUUUAUUGAAGACUAACUACUGCGAAAGCAUUUGCCAAGGAUGUUUUCAUUAAUCAGUGAACGAAAGUUAGGGGAUCGAAGACGAUCAGAUACCGUCGUAGUCUUAACCGUAAACUAUGCCGACUAGGGAUCGGGCGAUGUUAUCAUUUUGACUCGCUCGGCACC